rnacentral:rRNA from 1 species
UACGUAGGGGGCUAGCGUUGUCCGGAAUUACUGGGCGUAAAGCGUGCGUAGGUGGUUCGUUAAGUCUGAUGUGAAAGCCCUGGGCUCAACCUGGGAAUGGCAUUGGAAACUGGCGACCUAGAGUGCGGUAGAGGGUAGUGGAAUUCCCGGUGUAGCAGUGAAAUGCGUAGAGAUCGGGAGGAACAUCUGUGGCGAAGGCGACUGCCUGGACCAGCACUGACACUGAGGCACGAAAGCGUGGGGAGCAAACAGG